GCAUUUCUCUAAUCGAGCUGUAACACUUGCUGCUGCGGUCCAUGGCUCCAUUCCUUGAAGCCCACGAGACCAGGAACCCUUGGAUUGAGAAAAAACCUUCAAUUGGGAGGAUACUUCUUAUCUCAUUUCUAGGGGCCCAUCCGGGAUUUCUCCACAGCACUCAAGCUGAGCUUUCACUCUCUGUCCACCACUGCUGUUUGCCACUGCCGCAGACACGCGCUGACUUCCAUCCCUUCGGAUCCGGCAGGGUGUCCUCUGUGCUCCUGAUCCAGUGAGGUGCCCAUUGCUGCUCCCGAUCCGACUAAAGGCUUGCCAUUGUUCCUGCAUGGCUAAGUGCCCAGGUUCGUUCUAAUCGAGCUGAACACUAGUCACUGGGUUCCACGGUUCUCUUCCAUGACCCACGGCUUCUAAUAGAGCUAACAGAGCUGUAACACUCACCGCAUGGCCCAAGAUUCCAUUCCUUUGAAUCCGUGAGGCCAGGAACCCCAGGUCAGCUACCACCAGGCUAGCCACCAUCUUGGAAACAGCUUGCGGCCAUUUUGGAAGCGUCCCAUUACCGUCUUGGUAGCUCUGGGAGCAAGGACCCCCAGUAACAUGAGGACUCACACAGACUAGUGAGGGGAGCCAGUGGCAAACUGUAAGAUGUGCCACUGAGAUCCCCCUUCAAGUUCAGUUCUUCAGAGUCUGCUUCAGCUGCGUGAAGUGCUUUUACCCUAAGUCUCCCCAUCUUCUUCAGACCAGCCGGCAUACAGCAACUGAGCAGGGAUUUGUGGCUCUUCACGAAGAUAAAUAUUUAUCACCAAACAAUGUAAACUUCCCACAUGACAACGAGCAACUACCAUCUUGUCUUCAGGAUAUUUUUGUAGAUUUGAAAGGCAGUAGAAGCCGGGGACAGGGGCUCACGCCUGUAAUCCCAGCACUUUGGGAGGCUCUGGCGGUGGAUUACUUGAGGCCAGGAGGUCAAGACCAGCCUGGCCAACAUGGCAAAACCCCAACUCUGCUAAAAAAUACAAAAAUUAGCCCAGGGUGGUGAUUCGUGCCUGUAGUCCCAGACACUGGAGAGGCUGAGACAGGAGAAUCGUUUGAACCUGGGAUGCGGAGACUGCAGUGAGCCAGGUCCAAAAAAAAAAAAAAAAAAAAAAAAGAAAAAAGAUCAUAGAUAUUAAUUAGUUCAGCAGGCUGAUGUUAAAAAGUAAAACUAUGGCUAAGACAACUAAAAUGACAAGAUCAGAUAUACAUAGCCAGUUUAUCACUGAGAACACUUUUGAGAUAAUAGUGGAAAAUAUAUAUUUAUUUAGUACGUGCAUACAAUCCUUAUUAGCAUGCCCAUAAGAACAUGAGUAAAUAUGCUUGUAAAUAAGGCAUCAAAUUAGGGCCAACAUUUAAAAUAUAAAAUUGUUUUUAACAUUCUCCUUAAUAAGGAGAGAAAGUACACAUUCCAAAUGUGUCUUAGAAAUAAUAUUAUUCUAAAAACAUUCAUUGUUAUCAUGUACCAUUGCUUUAAGAGGUUUGUAAGAUCCAUUUCAGUUAUGACAUUAAAAUAGAACAGAUAAUUACAAAAAAUCCGAAUUGACAUUUCUUGCAAAUGUUUUAAGCCUAGGAUUCCAUCAAGGUAUUAAUAACCAAUUUAUUUUAAUAAAACCUUUCCAUUUUCCAUACAUAAAAUGUUUCAAAUUUCCCUUCAAAUAGUAACAGUGUAAUAUCUAUUUUAAAAAAUUACUGUUUAAUUAAAAAUUUUACCUUAUAUUGUUGGAAUACAGGGAAACACAUUUUAAAAUAUUAUAUACAUAAGACACAUUUAGCUCAAACACUGUAAAGAGUUUGAACAACUCUUGCUUUGUAUGCAAUAGAAGACAUUUUAGUGAAUCUACGUUGACAUACAAGCCAAGGGGUGAUAUUAAUAGUAAUGCAAAAUAAGAUAUACUUGAUUUUAUCAUGACUCUUAAACUAACCAAAAUACUUUUAUUUAAAAGAAAAGCACGGAGUUUAAACAAUUAAUAUUCACUCCAAACCAAGAUUAGUACAAGCUCAUGUCUCAAGAUUUCUAAUCUACUUAGAGCAAUUUUGAUAAGGAAAUAAAAAUCAAUGAUAUGGUUACCCAACGAAAACCCACUUUCAUAGCUAAAAAAAAAAGAUAUGUGCUGUUGUAUAACUUAACUGAUAUUUUAAAAUUACAUAAUUUAUGAGAGUUACUUCCUUAAAAUUAUCUCUCUCUCACUUUCUGUCCUCUCUCUCCCUGUUUUGUCUUUCUUGAUGCUAUUUAUAACUGUUAAGUGCCUAACCUAACUUCCUGUACUUGUACUGGUUUUAGGAUGUGUAUAAAUAAAUUUUAUAGAGAUGUCAUUGUAUCAUUUUAAAUUAUGGACAUCUAUUCAGUUAGUUAUGUUUUUUAAAGGAGAUGAGAAAGAAAACACUUUCUGAAUCUACAAAGUAUUCUUAUUUCUGAUGUUACUGUCUUUAUUCCAUUCUGUUAAUCAUAGUAUAAUCUCUCUUUGAAGUAUAAAAUAGUUGAGGAUCAGUUUUACGCCAGAAUUUAUAAGCUAUCAUGCUGAAAUCCUCCAAACCAGUAAGCACAUCAUAAACACACAAUGGAUAAUGGUAGUUUCAAUGGUCUCUGAAGUUGGUUUGGAUGUUAACAUAGCUCCAUCAUCUACUGUGUUACCUAAGGUAGUUCUUAAUAGCUCUGAGUCUUGGUAUAGCCAUUUGUAAAUUAUAAAAAGAAAAUCAAUAGCGCUACUAUAAUUGAGGCUAUUGUGAGAAUUAAAAUAAAAUGUAAUAUAAAAAUAAAAUACUAAAACAGUUUUUAACUUUAGUAGAUGCUGUCUAAACAUGUAGGUGCAAUCUUAUUAUUCUUGCUAGAUUAAAAUUAGCAACAGAAACUGAAAAUCAAAUAGAAGAUAUUAUUUUAUAACACUAUUUUCAGUUACCUUACAUGCUCUGAACAUGUAACACCAGCUCUAGUUCUGUAAAAUCUUAAGGAUUUAAUGUGAGCUACAGUAUUAAAAAUCACUUAAAUAAUGAUCCUCAUCCGCAGCGGAAUCUAUUUCAUGUUUAACGAGGUAUGUGUUUUGGAUUUCAUCCACGUCUGACAAAGCAGAGGCAUGGGCAUCAGUGUGUUUUGCAUUUUUUUGUGUGUUUUAUUUACUUAUAUUUUUUCUCACUGAAAUAUCCUAACUCAAACUUGUUGGCUUUCAUUAAUACUUAUGUUUAUAACAAUGUAUUGUAAUCUCUACCCCCAACAAACACACACAUUUAAAAUGUGAGGUUAGUAUUAAAAUUGGAUGUUUGUACUGAAACACAUUAUAUACUUCCCAAACUAUGUGUCUUUAUAACACAGAUGUUAAUUAGAAUAAAUAUGAAUAUUAAAAUGUUACCGAAAGGAAGAUAGUAAAUUCAUUUUCUUCAUUUAUUCUUCCCUAUUCAUGUGUCAGAGAAAGUUCUCAAACAUUGGGUCAUAUUUUGCAGAAAGAAGGACAUUUUCCUAGAGUACUAAUGAAGGACUUGAAGGCUUUUUCAGUUGGCUCUGAUUUUUACCUCACCACAUUGCCACUUCCCCUCGAUGCUGCCAGAAGGCCCUUAACUUUACUCCUCCAUUGAGUCCCUUUGGUCAUCUGGGCUGGCUUGAGUCACCUGCAGAAAGCAAGCCUUCUAAUCUUCACUUGGGACACUGGUAAUCUGUUUGUGAAGCUGUUUAAACACCAUCAGUUUCUUCCAGACUCCUUCCCUUUCACCUCUACUUGAACAUAUUAGUGUGUUACAAUUCUUUUUUUGUUUGUUUGUUUGAGACAGAGUUUCACUCUUGUUGCCCAGGCUGGAAUGCAGUGGAGCAAUCUCCGCUCACUGAAACCUCCGCCUUCCGGUUUCAAGCAAUUCUCCUGCCUCAGCCUCCUGAGUAGCUGGAUUACAGGCGCUUGCUACCACACCCUACUAAUUUUUGUAUUUUUAGUAGAGACGGGGUUUCACCAUGAUGGCCAGGCUGGUAUCGAACUCCUAACCUCGUGAUCCACCGGCCUCAGCCUCCCAAAGUGCUGGGAUUACAGGCGUGAGCCACCGCGCCCGGCCUUGUGUUACAAUUCUUUACCUGCCAAAUGGACCCUUUUGUGAGGAAAACAUGAGCAAAGAAUUAGAUGACCGAGUUUGGGAAGUCUGCAGUCUGAUAAUCUAUAAUCUGCAACAUUGCUCCCAGCAAUGUUUCAUGUGCACUCAAAUAGGCCACAUUAGCAUGGACUAUCUUUUCUCUCUCUCUUAGCCUAGCCUUGAUUCUUAUGUCAGCUGAGCCAAGUUGUAAUUCAUGUACGUCACUGACAAGAAAAGGGAAGCUGGUCAGAGGUAAUUAGUCCUACCUGUUGCUAUAGUUUGAGGCAGUACCUCCACAAUUCAGGUGCUGCCAAUAUGAUGGUAUUAAGAGGUGGGGCCUUUCAGAGCUGAUAAGUCCAUGAGGGCUUGUUACGUACCUCAUGAAGGUGAUUGAGUCCCUCAUAAAAGGGCUUGGCAGAGGGAAUUCCUCCCUUUUUCCUUUCCACCUUCAGUCCUAUGAGGACACAGUGCUCCUCCCCUCUACAGGAUUUAGUGUUCAAGGCACCAUUUUGUAAGCAGACAACAAACCUGCUGGCACAUUGAUCCUACACUGCUUGGUCUCCAGAAGGGUGAGAAAUAAAUUCUUGUUCUUUAUAAAUUACCCAGUCUGUGGUAUGUUGUUAUAGCAACACAAAUGGACUAAGACAUUUAUAGAGGCUGAAUUUCCUUGUGUCUAUCUUCUAUAUAGACCGUGUAUCAUCUUUGUCUUCUUAAAGCAUGCAAGAGAGAAAUGGAUAAAUGCAACUGGGCUCUUCUAAUUACUGGGAGAUAAAUUAUAACACUUCACAUCUCUACUUCCCAAAAUCUGGUUAUCUCUUACAGGAUAAUGUUAUAUUAUGCUAAAAUCAUAAUCCUUUCCUAGAAUCACCUUUGAAAAUGCUACAUUCUUUCUUUCUUCUUAUACACCUAACAGUGUUAUAGUAAUUAUGAUAUCAUUUAUAUGGUAUCUUAAUAAUCAACUAAAUAAAUUUGCUAAUUAUUGUAAUAAAACUAAUGCAUUUGGCAGAAAGGAACAUGUUUACAUAUAAGGACUUUAAAAUUUUAAUUUCCCUGACUGACGCUUCUUUUUAAAUACAUUUAUUCCAUUCCAAUUUAUUCUACAGUUGAAAGACUAAGAUUAGUCAAAGACAAAUUUUACCAUUUCAGAGAUUUAUUCAAACAUUUCCAAAACCUCCUUUUUCCUUAAUAACCCAAAUUCCAGUCCCAAUUUGGCAUCUGAAGUGCCUAAAAAUAGCGUGUGAUUAUUCCACAGAGCCCUUGAUCAUUGCAGUCCAGAAAUCUUUAAUGAUGACAGAUGAUGAAGGCAUGAGAACCACAGGGAAACAGAAUGGCCUCUGCAUUCCCUCUCCUAAGUCUGUUUGCCUCUACAAUUAUAGCCAGGGUGCCAUUCAAAAAUUAGCUUGAACACAACCUUUAACAUGGGUGAUGUGUGAUCCCCAUCCACAACCUACCUCCUGACAUUGCCUGAUAAUUGCUAAGACUCCAUCUCAUAGGUUACAGGAGCUACAUAAAUUUAAGAUGCCAUUUCUUGAUUAUAAGGGAGGUUUUUGGUCAAAUGUAGUUAAUAGCUUCACCUUUCAAGAUGACUUUUUUCUCUCAUAGACUGAGCAACACAGCUGACCUUAUUCAUAUAAUAAAAUGCCAUCCUGUCACAUAAGCUUGCAAACAUUCCAAAACAAGCUCAUUAGCAAAUAAUGAUGCCAAAAGAGUAACUUUUUAAAUGUCAAUAAAUACAUUUUACAUCCUUCAGAUAAUCUGUGAAACGUAACAGAUAAUUACCAGAGCUAUGCCUUUCUCUGCAAAGUUUUGAAAAAUUCUGUGAAAUUUAAGUUAUAUUUAAAACGUAAAGCACAUCAAUGAUUCUUUUUCUCCCAGUAUGAAAGAUUUUUAAUGAGAUUCUAAACCUAAGUGACCUAUUUACACAAACUCAACUGCUAGAUAAUGAGAAUGAGAAGGUGGUAAAAAUUUCAGUAAUAUAACCUCUAAUUCAAACCUUAAGUAUGUCUUCAAAAUACCUCAGAAAUACUUCCUACUCAAGUCUACACACACACAUGCACACCCACACAUGCACACACAUCAUUCAAGACAGGAAUAUUGAAAAAAAAAUCACCAUUGUUAAAAUGUCAUCUAUUCUGUGUACCAUCGACCUUGAAAUGUGUGGGCGGCAAGCCACCCGGGUGCCAAGGCAAGAUACUGAAGGCACAAGCUGUUCCAGUAUAAUAAAGAAAAUAUACAAAAUAAGAAGAGUUAUAAUAGAAAUAUAGAUAUGAUUAUAUAUGAAUAUUAUUAAUCAUCAGUUUGUAGCAUUACUCUUUAUUCCAAUAUUAUAAUAAUCCUUGCUCUACAAUUAUAACCUAGGAAAAACCAGGCCAUACAGAGAUAGGAGCUGAAGGGGCAUGGUGAGAAGUGACCAGAAGAUGAGUGUGAGCCCUCUGUCAUGCCUGGAUAGGGCCACUAGAGGGCUCCUUGGUCUAGCGGUAACGCCAGUGCCUGGGAAGGCAGCCGUUACUUAGCCGACCAAGAAAGGGAGUCUCCCUCUCUCCUGGGGAGUUAGAGAAGACUCUGCUCCACCACCUCCUGUGGAAGGCCUGACAUCAGUCAGGCCCGCCCACAGCCAUCGGGAGGCCUAAAUGUCUCACUGUGAUGCUGUGCUUCAGCGGUCACGCUCCUGUUUCACUUUCAUGUUCCACCCUAUACAUCUGGUUCUGCCUUCAAGCAGUAGCAGAAUUAGUGAAAGUACUAAAAAAGCCUUUGAAAUGCAUAGAAUAAUGGCCUAAGCUGUCCUCUCCGCCUUGGCUGCCAAACAGGGAAGGGCCCCCUCUCCCGUGGACACAUGACUCACGUGACCUUAUCAAUCAUUGGAAAUGACUCACACUCCUUACCCUGCCCCUUUUGUCUUGUAUCUAAUAAAUAACGGCGAAGCCAGGCAUUCGGGGCUACUACCGGUCUCCCCGUCUUGGUGGUAGUGGUCCCCCGGGCCCAGCUGUCUUUUCUUCUAUAUCUUUGUCUUGUGUCUAUUUCUAUGAUCUCCCGUCUCUGCACACGAGGAGAAAAACCCACAGACCCUGUAGGGCUGGCCCCUACAAAAUGCUGCAUUUUGGCUACAUGAUAUGGUUUGGCUGUGUCCCCGUCCAAAUCUAUCUUGAAUUGUAGCUCCCAUAAUUCCCAUGUGUUGUGGGAGGAACCUGGUGAGAGAUAAUUGAAUCAUGGGGACAAUUUCCCCCAUACUGUUCUCGUGGGAGUGAAUAAGUCUCACGAGACCUGAUGGUGUUAUAAUGGGAAACCCCUUUCGCUUGGUUGUCAUUCUCUGUCUGCCACCAUGAUUUGAGGCCUCCCCAGCCACGUGGAACUGUGAGUCCAUUAAACCUCUUUUUCUUUAAUAAUUACUCAGUCUUGGGUGUGUCUUUAUCAGCAGCAUGAGAACAGACUAAUACACUACGUUAAUGAGGAAGUGCUAUAGUUUACUAGGGUUCAGUUUAGUUCAACAAGUUUCCUAAAUAUCCAAAAGGGGUUAAACAUGGUUCUAAGCUAUGGGUAAAUACAAAUUGCUAUAUUUUAAAAUUGCAGGCUGGGCGUAAUCCCAGCACUUUUGGAGGCCGAGGUGGGCGGAUCACGAGGUCAGGAGAUCGAGAUCAUCCUGGCUAACAUGGUGAAAACCCAUCUCUACAAAAAUUACAAAAAUAUAAAAAAUUAGUCGGGGCGUGAUGGCGGGCGCCUGUAGUCCCAGCUACUCCGAAGGCUGAGGCAGGAGAAUGGCGUGAACUCAGGAGGCGGAGCUUGCAGUGAGCCGAGAUCGUGCCACUGCAUUCCAGCCUGGGUGACAGAACAAGACUCCAUCUUAAAAAAAAAAAAAAAAAAAAAAAUUGCAAUAAGCUGGCAAAUAUAAUUGUAAAUUAGUAUAAUAAAAUGACUAUUUGAAGUCUUCAUAAAUGAGGGAAUAUUUUAGCAAUAUUUAAGAAUUAUUUGAAAUCAAUUUCCUAGGGAUGGAGAUUAAAGAAUGUAUUCCAUGAAGAAGAAACUGCAUAGUGUAGAAAGGAGGUGGUUCACGCCUGUAAUCACAGCACUUUGGGAGGCCGAGAAGGGUGGAUCACGAGGUCAGCAGUUCAAGACCAGCCUGACCAACAUAGUGAAACCCCGUCUCUACUAAAAAUACAAAAAUUAGCCGGGCGUGGUGGCAUGUGCCUGUAAUCCCAGCUACUAGGGAGGCUGAGGCAAGAGAAUCGCUUGAACCUGGGAGGCAGAGGUUGCAGUGAACCGAGAUAGCACCACUGCACUCUAGCCUGGGCGACAGAGCGAGACUCUGUCUCAAAAAAAAAAAAAAAAAAAAACCAGAAAGGAGGCAUGGAAUAAUAUACCUUUGAAGAAGAAAAAACAGUCUCUCUUAAGGCUGUAUAUUUCAAGGAUUUAAUCAUUUUAGACAAAGAUAAUGCCAAAUGACCAAAUGACCAUUAUUUGCAGAUGUUUUAAUGGUCAUAAAUGUUUUCCUAGGAUUUUGUAGAGUGAGAAAAAUAAGUUCUUGUAGUGUGGAGCAUGAUACUUAUGAAGACUAUUGGGUAUAAUUGCCAAAUAAUACACUAUUAUAUAUUUCAUCUAUUUUUAACAUAGUUUUAUAAUUUAAAAAUACAUCAAAUGUUUGGAUGUCUUCUAGGAGACAGACAGACUUGAAAUUAAUUCAAUUUUAUAAAUGAUUCCCCUAAGAUUAAUAAUAAUAAAUGACAUGUUUAAAGUAUCUAAAUUGCAAUGUUAUAGAAGCAGAACAAAGCCCUAAUGUAAUAGUAAUCCUAGUGGGCUGUAGCAGCUGAAAUGAAAUGACUUUAAGCAGAUUUGGAUGGUUAUUACCCACAUGAAAUCCCUUAAGUGACUUUUCCCCUACUCACCCUUUCUUUUAGCAACUUCCUCACACCCCGUGGCCUAGGACUCUAGACAUGUUAAGAUAUGCUAAGGGAAUCAAAGAGUAGAACAUAGUCAUAAAUGGCAAAUCAUUUGACUUUACUACAUAAAAUGAAAAACUGAAGCACACUCUGUGAAAUCUAACAAGUUAUGCAUUGUGUAAAGAUAGGCAUUAUAAAAAAAACUUUUCCUCUUUGGAACAUUUAUAAAAGAAAUGAUAUAAACAUAAAUGACGUCCAUGCAAUCAGUUUAAGAAAAAUAUUAUAAAAAUGUUCUUAUUGUCUCACAACUUUGUUAGACUUUAUAACUACCUCCAUACUAAUGAAUGUCAAUAGUCAGGUUAUAUUUCUGUUUUCAUUCAUUUUCUAGUAUACUUCAGCCUAUAAGGUACAUUAUAAGGUAAGUAUUAGGGUCUUCUCUGUUGAAAGUAUUUGUUGUGAAACUAAAAUCAGAUCCUUACCUAAUUUAUUUGGUUGCAUGUUAAUUCUUCCAUAAAUUAUAUAGUACAGGAUAAAUGUGUCAAUACUGCUUUCAUUAAAUAAUUUUAAAAUUCAUUUGCCAAUGCAAAAAACAAAGAUCUUUUUUAAAGAAAAAAAAGUUAUGCAAAGAACAAAAUCCAUUUUCCAAUAAAGAUGUUAAGACCACAGUGAGGAAACAAAAAAUAUUAAAAUUAUUUGUCAAUGAAAAUCUGGUAUUCACUAUAUUUUUCUGUUAAUAUGAAUGUCUCAGCAUCAGUUUUGUUGGCUCACAAUAUAUUCAUGCAAUUUCACAGGAUGUGGCCUACAAGUUAACUUUUAUUUUUUACCAAUGAAGAAAAGACAGAAAUCUAAUAUUAAAUAAAGAAAUUCGUACUAAUAAAACUGUGGUAAUUCAUUUUUAAAAUAUGUAUUCAUUUCUUUCUUGCACAUUUUUCCUUUCUCUAUAGUAAUAUUUCUUAUUCAUUUCUUAAAAUUACUUUUGGUAAAAAAAUUAAAGCAAGUAUUAUUCUCCAUUACACUUAUAUUGUUGUUAGAAUCUCAAUGAAUAGUUUCCUCUACUUUUCUAUUGAAUAAUUUUAUGUAAAAUUCAUACUGUUUGUGAACACAUUUCUUUUAAUUAUAUACCCAAAUAAUUUUUUCUUAAAUAUUACUGAGCUGAAAUAUUUAAAUAUUAGCUAAAAUGUACUAUUAGGGAAUGAUAUCCUCAGUUAAUGACAAGAUAUGAGCUAUGUAGCCAAUUUUAUUUCAGGUAGAAAUUAUGGAAAACCUGCUCCUACUAUAUAUUCUAUUAUGCCAUGAAAAUCUGUAUCUCUGAUAUUCAAAAUGCAUCAGUAAAAAAUCCAAUAACAAUGCAAAAUUAGAAUAGAAUCAGUAAGGUUCUUAGAAUGUGAUCAAAUUAAACUAGGGCCUAAAAGUUCAAUAUUGUCUCAUAUUCAAGAAGAAUCACCUUAAGGUAAAAGCCAGGACCUCCACAGUUGAAUAAAAGGACACAGAUCAAUGAGUUACAUGAUGACAUUAAAAGACAAUGAUAAAUCUAUGUUCAUUGCAACAAUUGGGCCUAUAUGAAACCUAAAAGUGAAUGUAAAAUAAUGUGUUUUGUUGAAAACAUUAUAAUCAGAUGUAUUUGUUGUAUUACUAACUGACCCAAAAGAUUAGCAGACCCAUUAUGAAAACCAAGUAAUGUUGGUGUUUCACCUCCAUUGAAUCUUUGAGUGCUUCUUGAGAACCCAGGUAGUGUGAUUACAUCUAAUGUUACUACAAGUGAGGCACUGUAGCUCUUAGCUCUUGGGUCUGGCUGCCAUAACUAAAUACCAUAUACUGGGGGGCUUAAACAACAGAAACUAAUUUUCUCACAUUUCUGUAGCUAGAAGUCUAAGAUCACCAUACCAGCAUAAUUGGUUUCUGGUGAGAUAAUUUUUCCUUGCUUGAGGAUGGCAGCCUUCUCUAUGUCCUUACAUAGUUGAGGAAGAGAGAUAGAAAAAGCUCUCUUACGUCUAUUCUUAUAACCCUAUACUGAGGACUCCACCCUCAUAAUUUUAUCUAAACCUAGUUAUCUCUUAAAUUCCCCAUCUCCAAAUACCAUGGCAUUGUGGGGUUAGGGCUUAACCAUAUAAAUUUGGGAGAUGGGGACACAAUUCAAUCCAUAUAACUGAUUAUAUUAAAAUGAGCAACAGAAAAAUCAUUAGCACUAUUUGAUAUAACAUCAUGAUCUGUUGCCCCUAUACUAUUGUCUUUUCAAAUAAAUGUUUACAUUGACAGUAUUCAAUCAAAGAUAACUAAGCAGGUCUGAAAAUGCACAAUAUGCCAAAAAAUGAAGAAAAGGGGCAUAAAAAUCUACAUUAUUAAAAGAUCUAUAGAUGCUCCAGUUGUUGCAGUUAGCUUAAAGAAACUUUGCGGUAUACAGAAUUUUAAGAUGAUCAAGUUUCCUGUCCCUGAUUUAUACAUACAGACUUAUGUUUUCAAAAAUUAAUCCAGGUAUAGCUAUGAAGGAGUUUUUGAAGAUACAAUCAAGGUUCUAAAUCAGUUGAUCAUAAGAUACACAGAUAAUCCUCGAUGGGACUGAUCUAAUCAGGAAAACUCUUGAAAGGGUCAAGUCUUCUCUUGGCUAAAGGUCUUGGAAGUGUCAGAAAGAUUCAAAUUUAAAAGAAAAUCAUGGGAGAAAUGAAAUUCCUUUUGCAUCAUCACUUUCAUCUAGGAUAUACUCAAAUGCAUAUGAAAUUACUUGAGCCAUAUCUAUUUUAGUAAUUUGUUGCAAAAUAUAUCAAAUGUAAAAAAGAAAAAAAUUAUAUAGUUAUUUUAGUUAUACCCAUGUCAUCACCAAAGAGAAUUUCAUAACUUACUGUUUUGGAGUUUUAUUUUUUGGUUGUUACUUAGAUUUUUCUUUUUUUUAUGUAUUUUUUGCAUUUGGGUGGUUACUUCUGUGAAUUGUUUAUUCAUAGAAUUUGCAUAUUUACCUGUGUAUAUUUCUUUUUCUUUAUUGGUUUUACAAUAUGUUUAUAUUAUAGCUAUUGAUUCUAUUUUAUAUAUUCUGAAAACAUAUUUUCCAGAUAAUAAUAUAAGCUUGUAGGGUUUUUUUUUUAUUUUCUUUCUUUACUGUAUAUUUUUAUACUGGAAUGUUGAAUUUUGAUAUAAUUAGUAAUCAAUUCUUUACUUUCAUCUUUUUUUGUCUCAUUCAGAAAGUGUUCUCCACUCUAAAAAUAAAAUGGUUUGCUCACUGUUUAAAUUAAUUUUCAUAAAUUAUAAAAUACUGUUAAAAUGAGUGAAUUAGAAUAAAGAUAAAUAUUUUCACAAACUGUACACCUCCAUGUAACCAGAAUCUGAAUAAAUAUAAGUAAGAAUAACCAACAGUCAAGAGGCCCUCCCAUUCUCCCCUCAUCAGAGUAAUCACUAUCAUUUAUCUAACACCAUAAGUUUAUCUUGCUAGUUGUUGAAUUUUAUACAAAUGGAAUCCUAUAGUAUAUAUUGUGUCAAAUCAUAAAUGCAUGCUUUUCUGCACUGUCAUUUGCACACUCAACACUACAUAUUUUGAUUUUUUUUCUUAUGGGUUUUCAUAUACUUACAAUGAGGCUGUAUCAUUUUGAUUAUAAAAUCACUAAAUACUCUUUCAAAUAAAAUCUCUACCUCAUUGGCAUAUUGUCAUGUACCCAGUGCCUAUCUAAUGAAUCCAAGUGUGUUCCAGUUGUGACUUUCAAAUUUUUCUGCUCAGCCACAGCUUUCUCACAGGUGCUUCAUGGUAGGCCAAGUGAAUGAAUUGUGGAAGACAAAUGCAUAGGUAUAGUAUGAUCCCAACACGCUGCACAAUGAUCAUCCACUGAUUUCUUGGCUUGUUUUUUAAAAUAGAUUCCAUUUUGAGAAUACUGAGAUGAUUCAGUAUAUUCAGAAAUACAACUUGGGCAAACCUUCUUGCCAGACCUUGAUCCUGGAGGUUUGCUUAAGGAUUUUGAAAUAAAAUCUGAAUGAGACGAGAGGAAGGUUAAAAAAAAAAAAAAAAAAAAAGAACCUGUGGUUAUAAAGAGAAAUUUAAGAUUAACUGCAAAUAAUUAGCAGUUUAUACUUAAUAUAGCAUUCCUAUACAUUAUGCUAUUUGUCUUAGGAAUUACUAUCAUCAAGUGAUGAAUAUAGAAAAUAAAGCUCAGCUGUUGCCUAAGUUUCUAUGAUUAGAUGUUGGUCCUAUAAAAAUUCAAACUAAGGUUUUCUCACUCUCAUUUCACUGUUUUGACUUUUCCUAAUAACAACAAAAUAUGUCAGUUAAAUUGUAUCUCUAGGGUUGAAAAUAUGAUUGUUGUGAUUUUAUGCUAUCACAGUAUAGAAUAAUGUACUAGAAUAAAGAAAUUGUGGCCAGGCACGGUGGCUCACGCCUGUAAUCCCAGCACUUUGGGAGGCCAAGGCAGGCAGAUCACGAGGUCAGGAGAUCGAGACCAUCCUGGCUAACAUGGUGAAACCUCGUCUCUACUAAAAAAAUACAAAAAAUUAGCUGGGCGUGGUGGUGGGCGCCUGUAGUCCCAGCUACUCGGGAGGCUGAGGCAGGAGAAUGGCGUGAACCCGGGAGGCAGAGUUUGCAGUGAGCCGAGAUAGCGCCACUGCAGUCCUGCCUAAGCAAAAGAGCGAGGUUCCGUCUCAAAAACAAACAAAAACAAAAGAAACUGCUCAGUUGAAGCAAUUCAAACUUAAGGGGCAGCAGCAAACUAAAAUUUGUAUUUAAUUCAAUUAUAUAUUAAAAAGUAAAAACAUAAUGGGAAAUGAUAAAGGUAGUAGCAUGCUUUAGAAAGGCAAUUGCAUUUAUAAUCCAUGGGGAGCAUGUAGAGGCCAUCUGAGGACCUCAAUAUUUCAUACAAGAGGCUAUCAAAGGUAAUCCAGGUAUCAAGGUGUUUUCUAUAUUCUUCUAAUUUAUGUUCAACAAAAUAAUCUAAAGAUCAAAACAUUAAAAUGGAAUGUAGAUUGUUAACCUUUUCAGAAAUAUGUUGUGAUUUUUUUUCUGAAUCCUCAUUCAGUCAUUAAAUUAUUUUUAUGUACUAAAAUCAGCUGUAAAAACAGAAAUGACUCUUAUUUGGAAAAUGUAUUUAGAGUAAAAUAAUCAUGGAAGAGUUUGGUUGGUUAUAAUAUACUUUACAUAAGAUUUAUAAAAGCUAAUACUUUUUACCAACUACUUACCCUGAGUAAUGUCUUGCUCUGAAUAAUAAUAGUGAACAAAUAUAAAUAAGUAUUAAUAUAGAGCUCAUAUCUUCAGAGACUUUCAUAUAUAUAGAAAGAUAUGAGAAAAAUAUAUGAAGUAUCAAGAAUGGGAUAUUAUACUGUAUAAAUAUUUUUGAUUUUAUAGGUGAAUAGUUCAGAAGACUGAAUGAUUAAUUUGUCAUAAUCUGAAAUAAAUGAGCAUACUUAAAAUUACAUUUAAGCUUUUCAUAGAAAAUACGGGUCAGAAAUAAGAAAGGAUACAUGUUCUAUGUGCAUUUCACGUGCACUAUCAUUAUGAUUUUUACAACAAUGUUAUAUAUAACAUAAAUAUAUAUAAAAUCAACGUGUUUAUGUUCCAUGUCAUUUAAUUUUUAUUUUGCCCUAUCAAGGUUUAAAUCUUAUUUGAGAAAUAUUUUAUUUGGAAGCAGUAACAAGUUUAUUGGAAUCCAAACUGAAGAUUUAUAUCUCCUCAUAUUGAAGAAA
rnacentral:lncRNA from 1 species